rnacentral:rRNA from 1 species
UGGGGAAUUUUGGACAAUGGGCGCAAGCCUGAUCCAGCCAUGCCGCGUGAGUGAAGAAGGCCUUCGGGUUGUAAAGCUCUUUCGGCGGGAACGAAACGGUCCAUGCCAACACCAUGGACUAAUGACGGUACCCGAAGAAGAAGCACCGGCUAACUACGUGCCAGCAGCCGCGGUAAUACGUAGGGUGCAGGCGUUAAUCGGAAUUACUGGGCGUAAAGCGUGCGCAGGCGGUUUCCUAAGUCAGAUGUGAAAGCCCCGGGCUCAACCUGGGAACUGCGUUUGAAACUGGGAGACUCGAGUAUGUCAGAGGGGGGUGGAAUUCCACGUGUAGCAGUGAAAUGCGUAGAGAUGUGGAGGAACACCGAUGGCGAAGGCAGCCCCCUGGGAUAAUACUGACGCUCAUGCACGAAAGCGUGGGGAGCAAACAGG